rnacentral:rRNA from 1 species
AGCGAACGCUGGCGGCAUGCUUAACACAUGCAAGUCGCACGGUCGGGCUUCGGUUCGGCAGUGGCGGACGGGUGAGUAACGCGUAGGUAUCUGUCCAUGGGUGGGGAGUAACGGUUGGAACGACUGCUAAUACCGCAUGACACCUGAGGGUCAAAGGCGCAAGUCGCCUGUGGAGGAGCCUGCGUUCGAUUAGCUAGUUGGUGGGGUAACGUGCCUACCAAGGCGACGAUCGAUAGCUGGUCUGAGAGGAUGAUCAGCCACACUGGGACUGAGACACGGCCCACGACUCCUACGGGAGGCAGCAGUGGGGAAUAUUGGACAAUGGGCGCAAGCCUGAUCCAGCAAUGCCGCGUGAGUGAAGAAGGCC